CUUAUUGUAAUGUAAUUAUAAAAUUGUAACAUGUUGUAAUUUAUAGUUAAGCUUGUGUAAGCCCUCUGUACAAUCAUACAUUUUCAAUCAACUUUGCUGGAUUGUCCUUUUUUCUCCACAAAGACCUUGAGCAUGCAAAAACAUUCAUCAUGGACGAAUGACUCCCAAGCAGACUCAAGGCACGCCACCCCUACAACAUGGCAGCACAAGAGAUGCUCAAUUCCAUCCCUGAAGACAUCUCCAGAGAUGCCUGGCUGGCAGCAGCUUGGAAGCAGGAGUGGGAGGCAGCUGGCCCCUCCCUCAUGCACAGUUAUGUCUGGGAACCAGGAGACGGCGCCAUAGGAGGAGACGAACUACCUCGCCAGCAGUGGACCACACUGAACCGCUUAAGAACUGGUGUUGGGCGCUUCAACAUGUCUAGUGGGGUCUGGCGGACAGUGCGGCAUGCGAGUGCGGAGCCCUCGAGCAGACAGCCGACCACACCAUCAACACCUACACCAACAUAUAGACCACCCUCAGAGGCCGGCCUCUUCGACCUGGGACCAGAGAUGCUGGCGUGGCUCCACGACACCAAGUUGGAGCGCUGACGUUACACGAGAGAGAGAGAGAGAGAGAGAGAGAGAGAGAGAGAGAGAGAGAGCGAGAGAGAGAGAGAGAGAGCGAGAGAGAGAGAGAGAGAGAGAGAGAGAGAGAGAGAGAGAGAGAGAGAGAGAGAGAGAGAGAGAGAGAGAGAGACUCCCAAACCAGGGUGGCAAGAAGCAGGACUUCUCAUUCCUCUCACAGGGAGAGCCAAGACUUUCCAAAAGACCUGUACAACGGAGGCCAGCAUCAUGAAACACAAACUCCCAAACCAGCAUGGUAACAUGAAACACAAACUCCCAAACCAGCAUGGUAACACACAGGACUUCUUCUGAUUCUUCUUAUGUUCUUGGGUCUUGCCUGUGGUUCUACACGCAUCCAGAAAUGCAGACAAAGAACAGCUUGGCCUUUAACAGUCGGAAGCCUCUGAUUUUACUCUACUAAGCCUCAGAUACAGUCUGUUUUCUGUUCUCAUUCAGUCAUUC